rnacentral:rRNA from 1 species
AUUGAACGCUGGCGGCAGGCUUAACACAUGCAAGUCGAGCGGGGGAAGGUAGCUUGCUACUGGACCUAGCGGCGGACGGGUGAGUAAUGCUUAGGAAUCUGCCUAUCAGUGGGGGACAACAUCUCGAAAGGGAUGCUAAUACCGCAUACGUCCUACGGGAGACAGAAGGGGAUCUUCGGACCUUGCGCUAUUAGAUGAGCCUAAGUCGGAUUAGCUAGUUGGUGGGGUAAAGGCCUACCAAGGCGACGAUCUGUAGCGGGUCUGAGAGGAUGAUCCGCCACACUGGGACUGAGGCACGGCCCAGACUCCUACGGGAGGCAGCAGUGGGGAAUAUUGGACAAUGGGGGGAACCCUGAUCCAGCCAUGCCGCGUGUGUGAAGAAGGCCUUAUGGUUGUAAAGCACUUUAAGCGAGGAGGAGGCUACUUUAGUUAAUACCUAGAGAUAGUGGACGUUACUCGCAGAAUAAGCACCGGCUAACUCUGUGCCAGCCGCCGCAGUAA